rnacentral:rRNA from 1 species
AUUGAACGCUGGCGGCAUGCCUUACACAUGCAAGUCGAACGGCAGCACGGGAGCAAUCCUGGUGGCGAGUGGCGAACGGGUGAGUAAUAUAUCGGAACGUGCCCAGUCGUGGGGAUAACGUAGAGAAAUUUACGCUAAUACCGCAUACGAUCUAAGGAUGAAAGCGGGGGAUUCGCAAGAACCUCGCGCGAUUGGAGCGGCUGAUAUCAGAUUAGUUGUUGGUGNGGUAAAGACUCACCAAGCCGACGAUCUGUAGCUGGUUUGAGAGAACGACCAG